CUCCUCAUAUGCUCUCCUCUCUCACCUCAACCAAACCUUCAGCCGUAGCCGCAACCGCAACCACCAUGCACCGCUCACAGAUUCUCUCUCCCCUUUUCUUUUCGUGCUCUCUCCUCUAGCCUCCUUUUACCCUAUCAAUCGUUUUCUAGGGUUUAUCGCCCUUAUUAUACCUCUAAAUCUCAAUCUCAUAUCCAAUCACCUCUCUCUAAUUUCUAAGGUUUCGAAUUACACUGAUGCUGCAAUAAUUGGAGGCUGGAGUUGGUGGUGAUUAAAUUGAUGUUGUUGAACACAAAGAGGCAAACUAAUAUCAGCAGGCUACACUUCUUCUUUCUCGAGGUUUCUUCAUCUUGCUCGAUCUUUCACUCUAUGUUACUCUCCUAAUUAAAGUACUUAUCGGUUUUUUUAAUUUCUGUAAUUUCGAUCAAUUUCUGUCGUUUUCUAAGAUAUUAGGGUUUAUUACUCUUAUCCGGGUUUUCAUUUCAUUUUUUAUCGGCCAAUUUCUGAAGCAUGCAUAUCAUUUUAUUUGUUAUUCAUAUCAUUUUUGAUAAUCUUGAAGCUGAUUGAUGGAAAUGAUUGAUCUGGGUGUUUGUAAUUCUUGUUAAUUUUGUGUUUUUCUAGUGUUACUUUGAUAAUUAUGCGUUUGUUUGUGAAAAUAGUUGGUAGAAUUGCUUAUUCUCUUUAGAUAUAUGAAGAUCUGUCGUGAUCAGUUUUGUGGGUUUUUUUUAUUGAAUUAGUUUUGUGACCGAUUUGAAUUAGAGAUCUAUUCAAUUAGUUUGUUUGUUUGAUUGGAUGGUUAGAAGUUUAGAACAUAUACGAUGUGUAAGCUGUGCUUGAUUGCGAGGAUUGUUCUCUGUUUUUGAAACACUAGUUUAGUUGUUUCUCUGAGUUUUGUCAAUUUGAUGUAGGCUGCGAAUGUCAUAUGCUCCUAGAUCUUGAGUUUUUGUUUUUGGUGGAAUUGAAGUGUGAUUGCUGUUAAUUUGUGUGUUUAUUUUGAGGAAUUGAACUAUAUAGCUGAUAUUAUUUGAAAAUUUUGAUCCUUCAACUUGUUAACUGUAUUAAAAUUCUGACCAUUGAUUUGGAAAACGAUGAUUAUUCUUUUGUAAUUGAGCUGUUUUCUGUCAAAUUUUGGAAAUAUGAAGUUUUUCUAUGUGGGUAUUUCUGGUGUUGAUGGAAUUUCGACUAGGUUGCUGCAAGAUUUUGGUUUUUUUGGGGAGGGUAUUGGUGGUAAGGAAGGGGUUUCUAUAUUUUGAUUAUGUAGGGAUUUGCGAUUGAGGAAGCGGUGUUUUGGGUUGCUGGCAUUGUUUGGAACAGUAUGAGAAUUCUUCUCUGCUGGUGAUGUUGGUACCGUUGAUAAACUUGAGUUGAUCUUGUGGAGUUGUGGGUGCUCUCGAUUGUUGGGAUUGAACUUGCUUGUUGGCUGGCUGUGUAAUGUAUUUUUUUAGUUUUUUGUUUUUAUUUAUUUCCUUUAUCUUCUGACAAUAUGGGCAUUUCUAAUAUUGAUGGUAUUGAACUGGGUGUGAGCAGUUUUGGCUGGAAACCGACAAGGCGGCUUAUCUGCUCAGGUUUUCCUGUAGUUUUUUCCUACUCUACAUCUUUGUAUGUCCUUUUAGAAUUGGAUUGAUUGAUCACUUUGGCAUCUCAAAUUCUUGCUUUUAGCUUUUGUGUGCAUUAAGCAGAGUCACGAGCAUGAUAUUUGUCAUGGUGAUAUUAAGUGUGAGAAUGUGCUGGUUACCUGGCUGACUUUUCAUCUUUUAAACCAACCUAUAUUCCUAAUGACGACGAUCCAUCUGAUUUCUCAUUUUUCUUUGAUACUAAAGGAAGAAGGCUCUGUUAUCUCGCACCUGAGGUCUCAAGUGGGACAGUAAUCCCCAUACUAUUCAUAUUUUGACCAAGCCAAAUUCGGAUUCUGUUAAACAUCUAUGCUCUUGAACUAGUCAGGUUGCUGUCAAGAAAAUGAAGAGGAAGUUCUAUUUUUGGCACAGCAGCGCAGCAGAACAGAAACAGCAGCACAGCAAACAGCAGAGAAGCAGGUCAGCCUGAAGACGCAACAACACAUCAGCCAGCAGAGCAGCCACCAGCACAACAGAAGCAAAACCAAUCACCCAGCCAGCUUGAACAGAGCAGAAACACAGCCACAGAAGCAGAAUAACCACAACCAUCAGAGCAGAAACACAACCACAACCAUCAGAGCAGAAACACAGCCACAGCCAGCAGAGCAGCCACCAGCACAAGACCAGGACAGCUAGUUAAAUGAAAUGCAAGAAAGGUCGAUCAGAGAUAAGUCUGGAUUAUUUAAUUUCUUUUGGACGAAAAUUGUAAUAUUACAGCCUUUUUUUUAAUGAAAAUAUGUAACUUUGUAUAUAUGUUAA